AUGUGCUCGACUUUCCUCCUCGUCCUCCAGUCAAGACACAGACUGCGUUUGAACAGCACCGUGACAGAGAAUGAACAACAAAUCAUGGGACAUCAAGUCACUAAGACAAAACUGAGUAACUUGAGACUUUAUGGUCUCCAAAGCAUGAAGUACAUACUGUCAGCCCUUGUCAAACACAGGUUGUCAGCUCCUCCUCUGGAUCCAAUUGCAGGAAGUGAAGGGUUUUGGACACUGAGACGGAGCUGGCGGCCGCUGCAGACGAAAGUCAGGAAAGGGCAGGCCGGGUUCGGCCGGUCCCCGGCGCCGAAAGUUGUGCUAAAAAGCACCACCAAGAUGUCUCUAAAUGAGCGCUUCACUAAUAUGCUGAAGAACAAUUUCGGGCUUCCAUGCAGCAACAACAGCAGCUAGCCGGUGCCAGAAACAGAAGCCUGGCCCAGCAGAUGGAGAAUAGACCCUCUGUCCAGGCAGCAUUAAAACUGAAGCAGAGCUGAAAGCGGCGCCUGGGUAAGAGUAACAUCCAGGCACGGUUAGGCCGACCCACAGGGGCCCUGGCCAGGGGAGCAAUCGGAGGACGAGGCCUACCCAUAAUCCAGAGAGACUUGCCCAGAGGAGGACUACGUGGGGGACGUGCCACCAGAACCCUGCUUAGGGGCGGGAUGUCGCUCCGAGGUCAAAACCUGCUCCGAGGUGGACGAGCCGUAGCUCCCCGAAUGGGCUUAAGAAGAGGUGGUGUUCGAGGUCGUGGAGGUCCUGGGAGAGGGGGCCUAGGGCGUGGAGCUGUGGGUCGCGGCAGAAUCGGUGGUGGAGGUCGGGGUAUGAUAGGUCGGGGAAGAGGGGGCUUUGGAGGCCGAGGCCGAGGCCGUGGACGAGGGAGAGGUGCCCUUGCUCGCCCUGUAUUGACCAAGGAGCAGCUGGACAACCCAUGUCGAAAACAAAAGGACACCUGGAUGCUGAGUUGGAUGCCUACAUGGCGCAGACAGAUCCCGAAACCAAUGAUUGAAGCCUGCCCACCCUGCUGUGAGAGACUCUUGUUAGUCCACACGUCUGUAAAUAGCCUUGAGAUAACAGAUGAGAAGAAAUCUGAUUGAUGCUGGAUGGACCUAUCACAAUAGGCUAUGGACUUACUUGCCACCAGCUUGUGCAUUUAGUGUGUUCCUUUUACUUUUGGAUACUGUAUUGUAUGAAGUCCUUUUGUCCUUUGAUUUGGUUUUUUGUUUUUGUUUUCUUUUUCGGGGGUGGGGUAUUUUCCCCUCCUGUACCCAGACUUCUCUUUGAACACAAAUGCAUUAGCCUUGUGGCUAGAACACCCUCUUCCUACCUCUGCCUUCCCUCACUUGUCAGAUGCUCUGACAUGCUAACAUUUCUUUUGUUGAUCUCUGUUGCCCCCACAGAAAGGUCCCAGAAAAAAAAAGUGUUCCUCCCUGAUGCUUAGAUUUCUGAGGUAGGGUUCUGUUACAUCCUCUUCAAAAGCCUCUUUAAAAUGUUAAGAAAGUCUGGAGCUCAAAGAUGCAUUCUUCCACAUUGAUAAUUUAGUAAACUGAGCACAUUGACAUCA